GGUCUCACUAUGCAGCUCAGGCUGGCCUUGAGCUCACUCUGUAGCCCAGGCUGGUGUAGAACUCACAAGGAUCCUCCUGCUUCAGCCUCCCAAGUGCUGGAAUUACAGGCAUGUGCCACCA
rnacentral:miRNA from 1 species